GCUGGACGAAAACUAACGAAUCGGAUACGCACGUAGUUCUGGCAUGGCGGGCUCUUUCGGACGCGGGUUCGACUCCCGCCGCCUCCACCA
rnacentral:tmRNA from 1 species